AGGAUGAACGCUGGCGGCGUGCCUAAUACAUGCAAGUCGAACGGGCUCUUCGGAGCUAGUGGCGGACGGGUGAGUAACACGUUGGUACCUACCCCUAAGUGGGGAAUAACUGCCCGAAAGGGUGGCUAAUACCGCAUAAUCCCGUAAGGGUAAAGCAGUAAUGCGCUUAGGGAGGGGCCUGCGUCUGAUUAGCUUGUUGGUAGUGUAAUGGACUACCAAGGCGACGAUCAGUAGCUGGAUCGAGAGGUUGACCAGCCACACUGGGACUGAGAUACGGCCCAGACUCCUACGGGAGGCAGCAGUAAGGAAUCUUCCACAAUGGACGAAAGUCUGAUGGAGCAACGCCGCGUGCAGGAUGACGGCCUUCGGGUUGUAAACUGCUUUUAUAUGGGAAGAUUAUGACGGUACCAUAUGAAUAAGGACCGGCUAACUACGUGCCAGCAGCCGC
rnacentral:rRNA from 1 species